GCGCAAUCGGUUAGCGCGCGGUACUUAUACGGCAGUACAUGCAGAGCGAUGCCGAGGUUCCCCAGAUUCGCAAUGAAGAGCCCCACGCCACAUGAAAUGUGAGCAAGUCCACCCACCUCAUCUACCCUGGCGGCCAGUUCCUCGUUGGACCAGAUCCCUUCUAUCAUAAGCUCCUCCUCAGCACAUGGUUAUUACUGGAAUGCUGGUGGUUUGGGCAACUCUUUUUCUGGUGAGAUGGUGCAGUGGGAAGGUACAUCCCACUUCCAGCGGGCUGUCCCUCGGUGCUGGCUUGGCUUCUUGGGAAAAGAGUGAAGAAUCAGAGCCUACACGCUGCUGCUGAGCUCCACAGCCUCCAUCUUGCCUCCUCCUGUUUAGACGAUGCGGGUCCUAGUUCUGGGAAGCCCUUCCACUGGAUCGCAGAGCCUCUCUGAACUUCAGGCUCCUCAUCUAUAAAAUGGACCUCCCAAGGUGGUGGUUUAGUGCUGUCAGGGACAUGUUGGCAGGAGGACCGUGUGAGCUGUUGUGUCCACAGUAGCCUGGAAAGGGUGAGGGCAAAGGGCUGGGGGACCGGUCAGAAGGCACCUACCACAAUCCAGGUAGGAGGUGACAGUGCUGCAGCCAGGCUGCACGGCGAAGGAUGGGAGGGGCCCCCGGAGAAACCUGAAUCAGGUACCACAGUAACGGGGAACGUGGAGGAGGGCGUGAUUCACUCCAAGGCCGCUUUCCCAGGGGAUGUGACUCAGGCAGGAUUUUGAAAAAUGAGCAGUUCAGCAGGCACUCAAGAGGGUGAGAACAUUCCAACACCGGUGUGCCGGGGCCCCAUUGAGAGGGAGCCAGGCCUGUUUGGGGACCUAUGAAGCAGCAUCACAUCAGAGCAGAAGGGUCAGGGAAGGCCAGAUGGGGAAGGAGCUCGCCGCUCUGCCAAGGGUGUUGUCCUCUGGGCGCCAGGGAGUUCAGGAAGAAUUUUAAGCCUGGGGGCCGGUGGUGCUUAAGACCUAAAACUUGCUAUUAAGAAAAGUCCCGUGGUCACCAUGAACGGCCUGGGGGGAGGUGGCAGGGAAAACCCAGAGGGGAAGCAGAAAAUGAGGGCUGACCCCGGGGCAGUGGGAGAGAGGGAAGGAGGCAUGAGAACCGUUUAGGGAGAAGAGAGGAUCAGGGCCGUGUGGGUUUGGGGAAAGAGGAGCAGGCUGUUUUGAGGAAGAGAAUGAGUCAUGUGGGGGCCGGCUGAAUUGGAGGAUCCGCUGGGGGAUCAGACAGCCAAGCCCCAGAGCAGCCAAUGUUGGAGUCUGGAGCUCAGCGGAGGGGACUUGGGUCCAGAAGCCUCAAGGGACAGGUGGCAUUUAAGCUGUGGAAGGCCACCAGCUAAAAGGCAUCUCCAGAUUUUUACCUUUAGUAAGAUCUGAAUAGAGGUAUAUUUCCCUCCUCUUUGCCUCUUUCCCAAGGCCUUUGAGAGAUACAGUGAGAAAAACAUUCUUGAGGGUAAAGAGGAGGGAUCCAGGAGGGGAUCCUCCUAGGGCAGCACGGAGGAAUCCCUGGGCUGGUCCCACUUCACCCCACGGUGUCUGCGGGCAGAGGGGCCUGGAUAGGCAGGGCUCUUGGUAUCCAUUGUCCGUGGGUCUCUGCAUGCAGAUAUGUAAAGUUAUGUGUUUUCAUCUCCCCGUGAUUCCUGUUUUCCUGCAGCCCUUCCCGCUGAGGCAUAUUGCCCAAUAAAGUAGAGGGGUGAAUUCGAAGCAAGACCUCAAGCAGGGGGUGAAGCGGACAUGAUGUAGAGAAGCUGCUGCUGAUGGCAAUGGGACCAGAAAAGGGGGGCCUAAGGAAGAGAGAACAUGAGAAGCAAAAAGGGCAGCCCCUUAACCUUCAACCUCAGAGGCUCGUGUGGGAGAAACCCAGUCAGGUCUGAGGGGAGAUCUCACAGCAAGGGGGUGGGUGGGACUUGACUCAGAUUGCAGUGGGGAGAAAUUUUAAUGACACCCCCUCCCUAGCAAACCAGCGAUGCAAGAUGGUGCCAGCACAAUAUGGUGCCAGUGAGGAGGUGGUUUGGAAUGGCUGAGGAAGGGAGUCUGGGAAGUGGCUUCAUGCAACGCUGCUCGUUCUAGUGAGAAUGCAGCCAGGUAGUCCUAGGUCCCAGGGGCCGCAGAGCCAAGAUCUGCCUCACCAGCUAUGUGCAGGGACCAUGCACUUUGGCUUCACCUCUUCCUGCCCCUACCCCACCAGCAAGCCCCAGGGACCAGGCAGGACCAUCUCUGUCCUGCGCGCGCGCGCGUGUGUGUGUGUGUGUGUGUGUGUAAGAAUGCAGGGGACUCCACUCAGACCUUCAACCCUCUUGUCCCACCACCGUGAGGCCCAUGAACAUCUCUCUGCACCAGGAAAUUAUCUUGGCUGGGAGAAGGCGGAAGGGUGAGAAAACCUUGGAAUACUGAGCAAUUUUACUCAAAAGAGACUGAGUUAAUCAUACAGAAAUGGAGCUAUGUCUAAGGGGCAAUUUAAUGGUUUCUUUUUGUUUGUUUUCUUUUUGCCCGUCAGUAGUAGGAAUUAUCAGAUCACGAUGAGAAGAGUAUAAGAAAAAGUAAGAACAAUACUGGUUUGACCCAUCUGGGUAGGUGUGUGUGUGUGAUCUUUAGCCCUCCCACAAUUAUGUCUGUACACGUUUGCUGGGGCAACUGUAUAUUUUCAAUUCCAAUCGUCAGACCUUUCCUUGAAGCUCACGUGUGUUUUGAUCUGGCCAGGAAUUGAGAAUCAUAAAAUCAUUAAAUCUGUAUUAAUUACCUAUUGCUGCAUAGUAAGUUAAUCCAAAAUUUAGCUGAAAUAAAUAUG
rnacentral:lncRNA from 1 species